rnacentral:rRNA from 1 species
GACGAACGCUGGCGGCGUGCUUAACACAUGCAUGUCGAGCGGAAAGGCCACUUCGGUGGUACUCGAGCGGCGAACGGGUGAGUAACACGUGAGUAAUCUGCCCUUCACUCUGGGAUAGCCACCGGAAACGGUGAUUAAUACCGGAUACGACCACUCCACGCAUGUGGUGGUGGUGGAAACUUUUUGGGUGGGGGAUGUGCUCGCGGCCUAUCAGCUUGUUGGUGGGGUAAUGGCCUACCAAGGCUUCGACGGGUAGCCGGCCUGGGAGGGUGACCGGCCACAAUGGGACUGAGGCACGGCCCAGACUCCUACGGGAGGAAGCGGUGGGGAAUAUUGGACAAUGGGCGGAAGCCUGAUCCAGCAACGCCGCGUGAGGGAUGACGGCCUUCGGGUUGUAAACCUCUUUCAGCACCGACGAAGCGCAAGUGACGGUAGGUGCAGAAGAAGGACCGGCCAACUACGUGCCAGCCGCCGCGGUAA